ACCAAGUUCUCUUUUCCUAUUUCUUUAAAACCUUCUGGUUGGAGCAUAUAAAUCUCUUCUUCAAGUUCUCCAUGAAGAAAUGUAGUUUUCACAUCUAACUGCUCCAGGUGUAAGUCAAAUGUAGCACACAUCGUCAAGACUACUCGAACUGUUGUGUGUCGAACCACAGGAGAAAAUAUUUCGUUGAAGUCUAUGCCUUCUUUCUGAGCAUAUCCCUUCACCACCAGUCUCGCACGAUACCGCUCCACUUGGUCAUUGCCAUCUCGUUUGAUCUUGUAGACCCAUUUAUUUCCAAUGGCCUUCCUUCCUUGUGGUAGUGGAACAAGAUCCCAUGUCUUGUUCUUUUGAAGAGCUUCAAUUUCUUCUUGCAUUGCUGCCAUCCACAGAGAAACUUCUUGACUAUUUAUAGCCUCAUGGAAAGUUGAUGGCUCUCCAUCUUCUGCCAGUAAGCAGUAUGCAACAUUGC
rnacentral:lncRNA from 1 species